rnacentral:rRNA from 1 species
UACGUAGGGGGCAAGCGUUGUCCGGAAUUAUUGGGCGUAAAGAGCUCGUAGGCGGCUUGUCACGUCGGGUGUGAAAGCCCGGGGCUUAACCCCGGGUCUGCAUUCGAUACGGGCUGGCUAGAGUGUGGUAGGGGGAGAUCGGAAUUCCUGGUGUAGCGGUGAAAUGCGCAGAUAUCAGGAGGAACACCGGUGGCGAAGGCGGAUCUCUGGGCCAUUACUGACGCUGAGGAGCGAAAGCGUGGGGAGCGAACAGG